rnacentral:lncRNA from 1 species
CAGCGACACUUUUAGAGCUCUCUCCCCACCACAAAGCCGCAAGAGAUGACGAAAUCAGACGAGCUGAAGCCUUAAAGACAGAGAGGAAGCGCCUCAAGUCUGGUUCGUGGGUUUCACCAUUCCGGAUCGUGAACGCACCGCGUUCUGGUUCAAGCGAUCCGGAACGCGAUUCCAGGUAACUAUGAUCAGGACUUUAGAGAAUGGUGCCAGUGUGGGAGCAAAUUCAUGUGCGUUUGUGGGGAAGUGUGUCUCUUGAAAAUUCUUUUUAAUAAGCAAGCAGGUGUAGGGAUUUGUUUCCAGGGAGAUUUGAAAGUGCAUGCUGCACUCUAAGCGGAAGAUUAUUGCUGGGCUGGGUGAGGAAGGAGGAAUUAGCAUUAAUGUGUAAUGGGAUGAUCAUAU